AGCAGCGUGGCUUAAUGGCAAGAGCACGGGCUUUGGAAUCAGAGGACGUGGGUUCUAAUCCCAGCUCUGCCA
rfam:Ornithorhynchus anatinus chromosome 7, whole genome shotgun sequence.